CAUGUGUUCACAGAGGGAGAAAGAGCAGCUGGAUUCCUGCCUUCCCCUGGCUGCGCGCACGCACACAGGCGCACACACAUGUACCCGCACACACCCCCGCACACAGGCGCACAUACACCCCCGCACACGCUCAUUCUUUCUCCACUGCUGCCCCCCACUCGCCUGCCCCCUGAGUCUCCCUCUUUUCCCUCCGGGCUCCGAGCAGAGAGGACAGGAUACCCACAAACAUGCUGAAAACACACAUUCAAAACAUGGUAAUAGGAAGAACACAAAGACUGAGAGGCUGAAACAGCACUGGGAAACAGGACGAAAGUCUGAGAUGUAAGGCAGUCCCCCUUCCUCCCUGGAGUUUUAUGCAGUUACAGUGACUGCAGCUAUUUCACAAAAGCACCGACACAACAGGGGAAGGUGGGAAUCUGCAAAACGAGUUUCCUUACCAGCUUGAUUCCGCAAAAUGCACAAUAGAAGAAAAGAAAGACGAAAAAAACAUUUGCUUUAAAAAUCGUUGCUCAAUUCAUAGUCUAUAGCGGACGUGGGGAGGGAGAGGACAGGAGAAAAUCACUACAGAUCACGGGUUUGAGAAAGCAACAGAAGCAACACUCGGGCGUGAAAUGAGGAUCGGUUUUGAGGACUGAACUGGUGUUUUGUGAUGAGCAGCUAUCCCACUUGCAGUACUAGCAGCAGAGACAGAGGGGAAGACUGAGCUUUCUGGAGUGCAGCGCUUGACUCGUCCUCCCUCCUCCUCCUCCCUCCCUCCCUCCCGCCCUCCCUCUCUCUCUCUCUCUCUCUCUCUCUCGCUCUCUCUCUUUCUCUCUCUCCCUCUCUUUCUGUGUGUAUGUAGCGCAGGCGGCUCUGCUGCUGCAGCGUCAGGGAAGAGCUACCGAGAGAGAGGCUUCAGCAGCUCCCUCCACUUUGGGCAAACUUGCCGGUUUACCGCUUCUUUUUUUUUUUUUUUCUUUCUUUUUCCUUUUUUUUUUUUUCUUACGAGUGAGAAUCUUCUCAAUUGCCAUUCAACAUUUUAAAGCACAAGCCGCUCUGCCGUGAAAGCGCCUGAUCCACACUUCUCUGAAAGACACAGGAGGGAAUACACAAUUGCAGAUUUCACCCACUGUGGCAGUGCAGAUCAAAGGAAACAACUGACUGAUACAAUUUUAUUUGCAAAUAGAACUCUGUAUUUUUUUUUAAUCGCGUCGCGGCUUUUUUCCCCUCCCCUUUGCCAUUCCGCUUUAUAUGGAUGUAAUUCAGAAUCUGUGUUAAUUCACAUGGGGGAUCCAGUUACAUCUUGUUCCGCUCCGGGUAUAAUUACGAGAGACCAAUAAUCGCCU
rnacentral:lncRNA from 1 species